UACGUAGGGGGCCAGCGUUGCUCGGAAUUACUGGGCGUAAAGGGUCCGUAGGCGGUGUAGCAAGUCGAUAGUGAAAUCUCUGGGCUUAACCCAGAGGCUGCUAACGAAACUGCUGUGCUAGAGUGUGAGGGAGGCGAGUGGAAUUACGGGUGUAGCGGUGAAAUGCGUAGAUAUCCGUAGGAACAUCCGAGGCGAAGGCGGCUCGCUGGAUCACAACUGACGCUGAGGGACGAAAGCUAGGGGAGCAAACAGG
rnacentral:rRNA from 1 species